GUUAUAUGGUCAAGUGAAGAAGCGCAUACGGUGGAUGCCUUGGCAGUCAGAGGCGAUGAAAGACGUGGUAGCCUGCGAUAAGCUUUGGGGAGUCGGCAAACAGACUGUGAUCCAGAGAUCUCUGAAUGGGGGAACCCACUCAGCAUAAGCUGAGUAUCUUGUACUGAAUACAUAGGUGCAAGAGGCGAACCAGGGGAACUGAAACAUCUAAGUACCCUGAGGAAAAGAAAUCAACCGAGAUUCCCUAGUAGUGGCGAGCGAACGGGACCAGCCUUAAGUUGAUUUGAGAUUAGUGGA
rnacentral:rRNA from 1 species